CAGCAAUCUAUUUGCAUAUUUCCUUUGUGCAGUCCAACUCAGAGAGCCAAUGCAGCCACUAACAUGGCCAAAGGGAUUCCUCCUUGCGACGGCGCUGCCCUCCAUAGCAAACAACCUAAAGCUUACCGUCUUCAGGCCCCUUUAAAGAAAGAUCUUCUUUCAUCAAGGAGCCUAAAGACACAACAGGAGCCUCCUCUCCAACAGCGAGAUCGUGUGGGCUUUCAUCUAGCUUCUGGCUUUUUGGGACCUGGCACGUUGAGCUCGGAAUGCUCCCGGAGAACUCCCCACAGUGAAGGUACCUGAAGGAUUCCGAACAAUGUUUGAAAGCUUGUUGUGUGUGCAGUUGCUGGACAAACAGUGCUUGGAUUAUGAGGCGCAGUGGCAUCAGCUCAUCUUGAACUGCUUGAAUGCAUGCCUCCUGUGAUAGCUUCUGGCAGUUGAUGUUGCUGCAGAGUCUUGCCUUCUCUUCAUUGGAUACCCAAGGAUGUGCCUGAGGAAGCAAUGAACAAAUCCUAGCAACAUCAUGUAGUAGAAUUCGAAGUGGCUGAAUAGAUUUGGGAGGAGUUCGUACCGACAAGAAGGUGUUGAUUGCUUUGUAGAGAUGGUCAUGAGUGUCUCGAUCAGCCAUUGGUACUGUCUCGACAAGUUUCAUGAAUCGAUCAGGUCCAAGCAUUGGGUCAACGGCAAUAUGGGAGAGAUAUAUGUCCCACAGUUCUGCAACAGUUGAGCUACUAUUUGCGGCAGUCGUCUCGUUCCUGGAUGAUACGUGGAUCGAGACCACCCUCUCCAUUGUUUGGAGCUCGGGACUGCUUGCUAUGUUCUGCAGUGUGUUGUCAGGGAGGAGAAAGUCUUCCGCUUGGGCCAAGUGCAAAUGAUAUGCUACAAGAUCUUGCAGCUUCAGUCUGAUACUAUCAUUCAGAUUAAGCGAAAGCGACAUCGAGAGCAAUGCGAAGUAGAAUGUCACAGGGACGAUCUCAGCGCUGUUUGCAGCUGGAAGCAGCUCGAGGAUGCCUCGUAAGAUGGCUGAAACCUUGUUGCCAGCAGUGCCAGUUCCAUCUUCUUCGGCUGUGUUCUCCCAGAACUUGGACCGGAUUAUUCUUCUGAAGAAUUGGAAUGGCAGGGCUAUGAGAUCCUUGAUCCACAGGUCUUGCCCGGCAACCUCCUUCACCGCCUCGGAGUCCCAAGGCCGGCCGGCCAAGGCCUGGAGAGUGGGGACGGGCCGGUCUCGCCUCUGCUCCGGAUCGAGAAUCUCCAUGCAGGCCAUGAAAGCUAAGGACUCGACGCAUCGGCUCACGAUCAGAAGCUCUUCUGCCAUCGGAAGCAACGUUUGACAGGUCUGGAGAACUAUCAGAGUGUCAUCCCAGCUCUGCAGCACCACUUGGUUGAGGUACAAGUCGGAAGUCUCGCACAGGUUUCUGGAGGUCUGCUCUUCCGUCAUCUGGAGGAACUCGGCAGCGCACCGGAGCGCCGAGACGUUGAAGGGGUCGAGAGGAAGCGGAGAAUCGUAGGCGAAGAGCGCAACCAUCUCGAAGGUCUCUGAACCACCGGGGAAGCUGUGAUGCAAUUCGACGUCGGACGACGACUCGAUCAGUGCCUUCUUGAAGUACCCACUCCUUGAGAUCAGGGGCAGCUGCAAGGCACACAAGAACACCAUGGACACGUUAGCAAGGAGAAACUACCACAGCUGGUAUCAUAGAUAGCCGCCAUGCUGCUUCGAUUCUGACCAUGUGCAGGUUGAAGAUCUUGCCAUGAAUCCGGACACAGACUGAUGCUGGUGAUCCAGUCUCUUGGCUCCUGACAUCAUGGGAUUCAGAGACAAACGCAUCAGGCAGUGAAGAAGGAGAGGAGAAGCAGCAAGAAAAUGAUUGUUGGGAUCAAAAUAAGCAAUCGAGAGCCACUGAUGACGAUCAUCACCAUGUAAAUACCACUUUCUUCAGCAAGGCUGCUGGCUUUGGACUCGAGAAUGGACUAGCUCGAGCACUGGUGGAAUCCAUGUCAUAGACUCCACUGCAGAUCAACCCAGCUCAAGUUCCACACUGGGAUGCUAAUAGAAGAGAAGAGAAGAUGGCACGGAGGAUGCUGAGGGAAAGCUUUGCAGGGAAGGAAGCUGUCCGGUGUGUCACACACUUUCAUGCAGACUCCGCUGUUCGAAGUCUGAGAUCGAGUCAAAGGGGGCACAAGAACAGUGACUGAGGCCGCACGAAUGGGGGUUGAAUCCGAGCUUUAAGGCUUGGAAUUCGGGGGAAGGAAAGGAUUUUGGAGAAUUGUGUGCUGCAGGGGAGCAUAAUAAAUCCCCAUCUAUCUCUCUUUC